rnacentral:rRNA from 1 species
UACGUAGGGGGCUAGCGUUGUCCGGAUUUAUUGGGCGUAAAGAGCGUGUAGGCGGCCAGGUAGGUCCGGUGUGAAAACUCGAGGCUUAACCUCGAGAUGUCAUCGGAAACCAUCUGGCUAGAGUCCGGAAGAGGAAAGUGGAAUUCCCAGUGUAGCGGUGAAAUGCGCAGAUAUUGGGAAGAACACCAGUGGCGAAGGCGGUUCUCUGGGACGGUACUGACGCCGAGACGCGAAAGCGUGGGGAGCGAACAGG